rnacentral:misc_RNA from 1 species
UCUCGUAAUCUACCGCAGUCUUCUAAGAAUUUUGUACAAAUCGAAUGGCAUUGUAUUCAGAUGCCUGUCCAAAAUAGGGCGACUGAGCUGC